rnacentral:rRNA from 1 species
GGCCAGACUCCUACGGGAGGCUUUCAGCGGGGAGGAAGGUGUUGUGGUUAAUAACCACAGCAAUUGACGUUACCCGCAGAAGAAGCACCGGCUAACUCCGUGCCAGCAGCCGCGGUAAUACGGAGGGUGCAAGCGUUAAUCGGAAUUACUGGGCGUAAAGCGCACGCAGGCGGUCUGUCAAGUCGGAUGUGAAAUCCCCGGGCUCAACCUGGGAACUGCAUUCGAAACUGGCAGGCUGGAGUCUUGUAGAGGGGGGUAGAAUUCCAGGUGUAGCGGUGAAAUGCGUAGAGAUCUGGAGGAAUACCGGUGGCGAAGGCGGCCCCCUGGACAAAGACUGACGCUCAGGUGCGAAAGCGUGGGGAGCAAACAGGAUUAGAUACCCUAGUA